CCUACGGGCUGCACCAGUGGGGAAUAUUGGACAAUGGGCGAAAGCCUGAUCCAGCAAUGCCGCGUGUGUGAAGAAGGUCUUCGGAUUGUAAAGUACUUUCAGCGGGGAGGAAGGCGAUAAGGUUAAUAACCUUGUCGAUUGACGUUACCCGCAGAAGAAGCACCGGCUAACUCCGUGCCAGCAGCCGCGGUAAUACGGAGGGUGCAAGCGUUAAUCGGAAUUACUGGGCGUAAAGCGCACGCAGGCGGUCUGUCAAGUCGGAUGUGAAAUCCCCGGGCUCAACCUGGGAACUGCAUUCGAAACUGGCAGGCUGGAGUCUUGUAGAGGGGGGUAGAAUUCCAGGUGUAGCGGUGAAAUGCGUAGAGAUCUGGAGGAAUACCGGUGGCGAAGGCGGCCCCCUGGACGAAGACUGACGCUCAGGUGCGAAAGCGUGGGGAGCAAACAGGAUUAGAUACCCCGGUAGUCC
rnacentral:rRNA from 1 species